UACGUAGGGUGCGAGCGUUGUCCGGAAUUACUGGGCGUAAAGAGCUCGUAGGUGGUUUGUCGCGUUGUUCGUGAAAUCUCACGGCUUAACUGUGAGCGUGCGGGCGAUACGGGCAGACUUGAGUACUGUAGGGGUAACUGGAAUUCCUGGUGUAGCGGUGAAAUGCGCAGAUAUCAGGAGGAACACCGAUGGCGAAGGCAGGUUACUGGGCAGUUACUGACGCUGAGGAGCGAAAGCAUGGGUAGCGAACAGGAUUAGAUACCCUGGUAGUCCAUGCCGUAAACGGUGGGCGCUAGGUGUGAGGGUCUUUCUACGACUUUCGUGCCGUAGCUAACGCAUUAAGCGCCCCGCCUGGGGAGUACGGCCGCAAGGCUAAAACUC
rnacentral:rRNA from 1 species